UACAGAGGAUGCAAGCGUUAUCCGGAAUGAUUGGGCGUAAAGCGUCUGUAGGUGGCUUUUUAAGUCCGCCGUCAAAUCCCAGGGCUCAACCCUGGACAGGCGGUGGAAACUACCAAGCUGGAGUACGGUAGGGGCAGAGGGAAUUUCCGGUGGAGCGGUGAAAUGCAUUGAGAUCGGAAAGAACACCAGUGGCGAAGGCGACUCACUGGACACGUAUUGACGCUGAGGUGCGAAAGCGUGGGGAGCAAACAGG
rnacentral:rRNA from 1 species